UCUUUUUAGUGUUUCUAAGAUACUAUUUCUAGAUGAGAGCCACUGGUUAUUUGGCAGACUGGGUUAAGUACAUUAUCUUCUCUAAUGUGACUAAUUCUUCUCCAGUCAGUUGAAGAGCUGACCAGGACAGAAAGGGGAGGAAGAAAAAAAAUUCUAGCUUUGAAUAAAACUAUCAGCCUUUGGGGGCUUUGUUUGGUUUUUAUGUUCACAUUCAUAGUGUAUCAAUGACUCUUCCUGGGAUCUCAGGCCAACCAGCUGUGGACUGGAACCACAAUAUCCACUCUUCUGUAGUUUGGACUUCAGAUAUGGAUCAGAACUAAAUCAUAGACUCUUCCAAGUUUUCAACUGCUGACUCAUCUUGUAAAUCCUGGGACUUUCCUGAGUCUGUGACUAGCACUCUGAAGUAGCUAGAGUAAGCACUCUGAGAAUCCUCACUGACAGAGAAGGAAACUGAGGUUGAAGAUGGAUUCUCUCUCUCUCUGUGAUUCCAUGGCCCAACUGUCCCAGAAGCAGAACAACUUCAACUCCAAAACCAAAGCCCUGCAGGAAGUCAGUAAGAACACUAAGGCCCAGGGAUGAUCUCUGGCUUGUCACUGUGUACAUCUUGAGAGGAAAACACUGUCUGCUUAGACACCUCAUCUGUCAACCCAACACUUGAUUGUCCACACUGCAUGCUGCUGCUGAUGACCUGGAUGCAGAUUGUUUCCUCUGAAAGUCCUUUUCCUCCAUGCACGGUCCUCAUGGACUGUCAUUUCAGGAUAUCCCAUGUUCAUGGAUGCCAUUUGAGAUGUAUGUGGCCACUCACAGCCCUGCAUUUGUAACGAAGAUGCUUCAGCCUCAGAAGCCCUGGGUCUCAGUCUCAGUUCCUUCUUAACAGCAGGGGAAACAUGGCCACAUGUCUUGCUCUUCGGACUCUGGUUUCUUGUCAUCAUAGAGGCCUGAACACAGUAUUUAUGAUUCAUAUUUUCUCAUGAGGACUAUGAGAUGAAGCAGGCAGCACACCGUGGACCCUGUGAAUGCUCAGUAAACCAUCCCAAAUAUUGAGGGGCAAGCCCAGUAUUAAAGGGGGCCCAGAGCACUGUUUUCAAGGCUAAGUUGAUGCCAGCUCUGUUGGCCCAUGAAUUUAGCAGUAAACAAUUCCUGUAUACUGCAGUAGUGGUGACUAUCUCUGCUGCUAUAGAAAGUCCCUUUCUUCUCUGAUCCAAGCUUUUCCAUGUAUAAAAUAGGUACAGUCAGAACUUCUGCUGUGCAGGAGCUGAUGGCACUGGUUGGCAAGCCAAGCAAAGGAAAUGAGUAUUCAUCCACUUACUAUCUGCUCGCUUGCUAAGGAAAAGCUAAGGCAUAAUUAGUAGAGUUCAGUAUAAGUAUAUGAUGAGAUUAUCAUUGUCACCAAGGUUUUUGGAUAGGUGAAGUUCCUGGAUGACAAAGACUUUCACAAAAAUAACUGAUCAAACGUAGUCAGAGGAGUCAGGUGUGGGAGCACCUGCUGUAGUCCCAGCACCGGGGAGGCAGAUGCAGGAGGACUGUUGUGAGUCUGAGCAGCCUGAGCUAACUACUGAGUUCUAGGCCAGCCUUGGCUACAAAAUAAGAUUGUAUUUUCUCUCUCUCUCUCUUUUUUAAAGCAAACAAAAAAAAAUCUACACAACAAAACAUUCACAGUGUCUGGAGUCAAAGUGGAAAACAGCAUAAAUAAAAUGUGUA